UGCCAGACUCCUACGGGAGGCAGCAGUGGGGAAUAUUGCACAAUGGGGGAAACCCUGAUGCAGCGACGCCGCGUGAGCGAUGAAGUAUUUCGGUAUGUAAAGCUCUCUCAGCAGGGAAGAAGAUGACGGUACCUGACUAAGAAGCCCCGGCUAACUACGUGCCAGCAGCCGCGGUAAUACGUAGGGGGCAAGCGUUAUCCGGAUUUACUGGGUGUAAAGGGAGCGUAGACGGCGAUGCAAGCCAGAUGUGAAAGCCCGGGGCUCAACCCCGGGACUGCAUUUGGAACUGUGUGGCUGGAGUGUCGGAGAGGCAGGCGGAAUUCCUAGUGUAGCGGUGAAAUGCGUAGAUAUUAGGAGGAACACCAGUGGCGAAGGCGGCCUGCUGGACGAUGACUGACGUUGAGGCUCGAAAGCGUGGGGAGCAAACAGGAUUAGAUACCCGAGUAGA
rnacentral:rRNA from 1 species